UUGAUCGAAAAUAUUGCUUGUAUUUUAUAUUGCAUUAUUAUGUUCGAUAGUGAUCAAAUUGUAUCAGCAUCAACUUAUACGAAGACUUGUUACUAGCGAAAGGUGUUAAUGACACGAUACUCGAUAGUAGAAAAAGCAGAGACCGUCAUUUUCGAGUCCACAAGAAAGAACAAAAGGCGAGGAAGAAGACUCUUCAAGAUUCCCAUUCCUGGAACGCUGGUGAUUUCUAAUUGAUCGUAAAAGGCGAAGCUCCGCGAUCGUGUCCUCGAUAUUUCACGAGCACGGUGAAAGAAGAAACGCACUCGUCGACUACGCACGAGAAUCUCGUCGUACCAGAUCAAGGACGAGGUUUCUCAGUGUCUCAAUAUGUCGAGAAACCCGAUUCGGAGGCCUUGUACCACUUAAAUUCGGACACUUCCUAAGCUGGAAAUCAGGAAACGCGAAUCGUUCUCUCUCAUUCUUAACCAAUUCGACGAAGGGGAAAAGAAAAAAGAGGAAAAGCGAGUUGUGCAGGUGCCGAUCGAAAGGUCGUGUCUCCGUGGAAAAAAGGAAUGCUUGGAAGAGGGAAGAAAAGGUCGAACGUCAAUCCUGAAGUGGAACGAAACGAUAGAAGAGAAGGAAGCAAUCCGCGCUAUCGGCUGGGAAUAACACGAGCGUAAGAAUCGAACCUCAUUAAGCAGGCUCGUUUCUUCUAGCCGGUAAUUAAAUGCGACCAAAGGAAAGGAAAAACGCUGGAUAAGGUACAUCGCUCGCGAAGUAGGCCUCCCGCAUUUAAUUGUAUCGCGCCUCGUUAGGUCGUCCCACAACGGGUCGACCUUUGGGUUCUGUGUGCGUAUGUGUUUGUUUCAGGGUUCACAAGAAUGCAAGAGACACUACGUAUUACGAUAGGUCGAGGUGAUGAAAAAAAAAAAAAAGAAAGAACCAGGAAGAAAAGAAAAAAAAGAAAUCGGGUGCAAAGACCUGCUUGCUGCUAGAUAGACGUGAUUAUGGAAACGAGAGAGAGAGAGAGAGAGAGAGAUGGAGAAAGAGUGAAAGAGUCCCAAGUCUUGUGGAAAGAGUAGAAUUGCGGUCCAGCCUAGUUUUUUAAAAAAUGCGAAACAAGUCUGUGGUCUAGUUUAUUGAACGGAUACGACAGCUUCUUCCUCUUGAAAAGGUUUUGAUUUCGUCGGCAAGUUCAUAGAAAAGACGGAAAGGAAAGAAUAUCAGAAGGCAGAAAUAGAGAGACGCCACAGUUCGGUAAGUAGUUACUGCUUAAGUUUUACGAAAAGUCGUACUAUUGCAGAAUCGGAAGUCAUAAUCCCGGAAUGUAGAGUUUUGAUGAUCUUAGAAAGGCUCGUGAAUAUAGUAACAAACUACAUCCCGUUUCUUGCUGACGUAGUCUUUAAACGAAGCAGCCGUCUUCUUCCUUUGGGACCAUACCGAAAUCCGAAACUUAUUUCGAAGACGAAUGAAAAGUCCAAAAGCAUUUCUACGGCAUAAGCGAGAAAUUGAAAGGGUUCAUUCUAUCUGGGUCCACCUUAUCCACAAGUAAUAACGUGCCAUAUAUCUAUACACCUAUUGGUAUAUACAGACCGGACAGAAAGUUGUGAAAUAGAACUUGAUAAAAGCAAAACAAAAUCGAGUACUUAUACGAACGAAAUAGAAAAGAAAUGGAACUAUCGAUUUUAUAAUAAAAGAAAUAAUUCAUCAUAUUUUCUGACAAAUAUUUGAGAUAUUGGUAUAUUCCCACUCGUCGUUUUUUUCUCGUUUUAUCUUCUCUCAUAUGUUUACGCGAAAUGAUCAUAGUGCUAUUUUUUUUUCUCGAGUACCUGCGAUACGUUUUUUUCUGUCUCCAUGUCUCUUUAUUUAUACGGUUAGCCGAGUCUCGAAAGACUAGCACCUAUUGCCAACGAUCAUUCCUUUGUGCAACGCACGUCUCUGAAUCGCCUUGAAAGUUCGAACGGGAAAGGUUACACACCGCUAUUCUGCGCGUUAAGAAGCAGGAUUUGAUUAAACGCUGCAGUAG